rnacentral:tRNA from 1 species
GCAAUGGUGAUUUGAUGGGAGAAUUCUCACCUUCCAUGUGGGAGACUUGGGUUCAAUUCCUGGCCAGUGCA